rnacentral:rRNA from 1 species
UGAGUAACGCGUGAGCAACCUGCCUUUAUCAGGGGGAUAACGCAUCGAAAGAUGUGCUAAUACCGCGUAAGACCACAGCUUCACAUGGAGCAGAGGUCAAAGGAGCAAUCCGGAUAAAGAUGGGCUCGCGUCCGAUUAGCUAGUUGGUGAGAUAACAGCCCACCAAGGCGACGAUCGGUAGCCGACCUGAGAGGGUGAUCGGCCACAUUGGAACUGAGAUACGGUCCAGACUCCUACGGGAGGCAGCAGUGGGGAAUAUUGGGCAAUGGGCGAAAGCCUGACCCAGCAACGCCGCGUGAGGGAAGAAGGGUUUCGGCUCGUAAACCUCUGUCCUAUGGGACGAAGGAAGUGACGGUACCAUAGGAGGAAGCCCCGGCUAACUACGUGCCAGCAGCCGCGGUAAUACGUAGGGGGCGAGCGUUGUCCGGAAUGAUUGGGCGUAAAGGGCGCGUAGGCGGCCUGCUAAGUCUGGAGUGAAAGUCCUGCUUUCAAGGUGGGAAUUGCUUUGGAUACUGGUGGGCUGGAGUGCAGGAGAGGAAAGCGGAAUUACCGGUGUAGCGGUGAAAUGCGUAGAGAUCGGUAGGAACACCAGUGGCGAAGGCGGCUUUCUGGACUGAAACUGACGCUGAGGCGCGAAAGCGUGGGGAGCAAACAGGAUUAGAUACCCUGGUAGUCCACGCGGUAAACGAUGAAUGCUAGGUGUAGGAGGUAUCGACCCCUUCUGUGCCGCAGUAAACACA